rnacentral:rRNA from 1 species
CCUACGGUGGGCAGCAGUGGGGAAUCUUGCGCAAUGGCCGAAAGGCUGACGCAGCGACGCCGCGUGUGGGAUGACGGUCUUCGGAUUGUAAACCACUGUCGGGAGGGACGAAGUUCUGACGGUACCUCCAAAGGAAGCACCGGCUAACUCUGUGCCAGCAGCCGCGGUAAUACAGCGGGUGCGCGCGUUGUCCGGAAUCACUGGGCGUAAAGGGCGCGUAGGCGGCCUGGUAAGUCGGGGGUGAAACGCUGCGGCUCAACCGCAGCACUGCCUUCGAGACUGUCAGGCUUGAGCACGGUAGAGGCUGGUGGAAUUCCCGGUGUAGCGGUGAAAUGCGUAGAGGUCGGGAAGAACAUCGGUGGCGAAGGCGGCCAGCUGGGCCGUUGCUGACGCUGAGGCGCGACAGCGUGGGGAGCAAACAGGAUUAGAUACCCGAGUAGUC